rnacentral:lncRNA from 1 species
ACCAUUACAGUUCAAAUAACGUCCUACAUAGAGCUGGAAUGGUAGCAAACGUACCACAUUACAUGGAGACAAAAAAAAAAACUAAAUCAAGGCCUAUAGAAAUAUGAGCAAGAAAAUUGGCCUUCGUCACAAUUAAUUCUUAGUUCGUCACGACGAAAAUGUACUUCGUCACACGAAAUUCUUCAUACGACACCAUGGAAAAUUUCACGAAGUAAGAAAAACAUUGGAUCCCCGUGCUCCGUGUACGCACGCAUUAAUGAUUUACUCUACAAAAAUAACAUGAUUUAAAAAAAAAAAAACUCUAAGUAAGGAUAUGUAUUACAAUGUUUGCAUCAUACCUCUACAUAAUCCUCCAAAAAUUCGUGGCUAAUGUCAUGAUGUUAUAUAAGGGAUCUCAUUUGAGUUCGGGAUCUUGAAUGAGGCGACAAAACGUU